GGGCGCGUAGCUCAGUGGGAGAGCGCUUGACUCACAUUCAAGAGGUCGCAGGUUCAAUCCCUGCCGUGCCCA
rfam:Moorella glycerini strain NMP genome assembly, contig: M_glycerini_NMP_DRAFT_scaffold-36